UACGUAGGGUGCAAGCGUUAAUCGGAAUUACUGGGCGUAAAGCGUGCGCAGGCGGUUCGCCAAGACAGAUGUGAAAUCCCCCGGGCUUAACCUGGGAACUGCAUUUGUGACUGGCGGGCUAGAGUAUGGCAGAGGGGGGGUAGAAUUCCACGUGUAGCAGUGAAAUGCGUAGAGAUGUGGAGGAAUACCGAUGGCGAAGGCAGCCCCCUGGGCCAAUACUGACGCUCAUGCACGAAAGCGUGGGGAGCAAACAGG
rnacentral:rRNA from 1 species